CGAAUGGGGCAACCCGGCCCAUUGGGUCAUUUCUUGUUGAAUAUAUAGGCAAGAAAAGCAAACCCGGCGAACUGAAACAUCUAAGUAGCCGGAGGAAAGGACAUCAACAGAGACUCCCCUAGUAGCGGCGAGCGAACGGGGACUAGGCCAGUGGCGCAUCAGUAAGAACUAGAACAGUCUGGAAAGUCUGACCAUAGUGGGUGAUAGUCCCGUAUAGGUAGAAAGCUGAUGUGUCCUUGAGUAAGGCGGU
rnacentral:rRNA from 1 species